GCCAGCUUCACCAACCCAACUCGAAGCCUUUAGUGAAUGUCCUUAUGAAAAUACGAUUUUUAGUAGAUGUAAUUACAUCAACCAGGUGAGAUUUUUUUGUAGUCCAAUUCCUUAAUAACUUAAUUUAUUUGUUAUUGUUUGCAACAGGUUGGAGAUGGGGAUGAUGACGGACCAGCCAGCCGAACUCAAAUUGGAUUAGGCAUCAUGCGCCACCUGGUUGCUGAAGCUUGAGAGGACCUUUAUGGACAAAAAAUCCUAUUCAAGAUAGUUCUGUCUGGAAUUCCAUACCACCUCCAGAGAAUGGAAAAUGUCUUCAAAUUCUGAUGGGCCAGCAGCCUGAAGUGGUCAAACAAUUUGAAACUGGAUGCAGCACAGAAUCCCAUAUUUCAAGAGAAUGCAGAUGUCUGAGAGGAAAUGAUGAAGAACCAGCCAGCCAGCCAGCCCAUCCGACAAGCUGCCCACCCGGCCGAGCUAUCCUUGGUGUACCCCAACAUUCCAACAUGCGGAAAUUUGUUAGAACAUCAUGAUCAUAUAAUGGAAAACAGUAUCUAAACUGAAGCAUAAUAUGACCAGCCUGGUUGCUGAAGCCACAGAGGUAUUUUUAAGAACAAGAACCUGUGCUGGUCAAAACGUUGUCUUGUAUGAUAUAUGAUACCGGCUCUCGGCAAGGAUUUCUGAGAAAGAAAUACCGUUUCCAACUGGCACCCCUUUCAGUGGAGACCAGACAAUCAGAGAAGCACCUCCUGGCAAACUGGGCAGCAAGUGGGGGCAACACAGACUCAUUUAAAAAAUAGGAUAAGUUUAUCGGUUAAAACAUUCUCAUUUUUCCGUGACGUGAAAUAUUUCAAAUGAGACACAAAUAUUGUUUGGAACAUUUAUGCAGUAUUGUGCUGCUCCAAAUGGGUUUUCUUGUAAGGCUCAAAGAGAAUUGUUUGUUUCGGAUAAACCGACUCUACCUGAUGAAAGCCGCUGACCCACAAUGAUCUUUUCCAUAUUUAAGGAAAUGGUGGCAGGCCAUUUUGAUAAAGGAAUUGUGUGAUUUGGCAGAGAGAGGAUGAUCCCUGUGUGUUCUAACUUGUUUCCAAACCUUUUAUUCAAUGAACCAAUGGACAUUAUACAUGAAUGGCUCCAUGUACUAAUUGUUUUGAGGAAAAUCUCCUCUAAAAAAAAAAAAAUCCCUAGAGAAUUUCAAAAAAUACCAUACAAAAACAUAAACAUAAACUGACAUUAUUUUUUGACAGAAUAAAGCUCCAUUACAAAAGCAAUAUUAUAUUAGUGACAUUUGCAAGAAAAAGCGCCAUUUGCAAGAAACUGAUCUUGACAUUAAGUACAUGUAUUAUAUGAGUGACGUAAGCAAGAAAAAGCGCCAUUUGCAAGAAACUGAUCUUGACAUUAAGUACAUGUAUUAUAUGAGUGACGUUUGCAAGAAAAAGCACUAUUUGCAAGUCACUGUUCUUGACAUUAAGUACAUAUAAAAAAUGUCCUUCCUAAUCUAACUAGUAGUUUCGGGGAUGUUACCCUAAACAUAUAUAUUUAUGCUACCCUAUUGCAUGAAUGGGGGAUACAUAUAGUUUUUGCCCUGUUCGUCAGUCAGUCCAGGUGUCAGUAGGUCACACUUCCUUUCCACUCAGUAUCUAAAGAACACUUAUGCCCAGGAACUUCAUACUUGGUAUGUAGAUUUGUCAUGAUUAGUAGAUGACCCCUAUUGAUUUUGAGAUCAGUUGGUUAAAGGUCAAGGUCACUGUGAGCCCCGCUUGAGCCCUGGAAUUUCAUACUUGGUUUGCUAGUUUGUCUUGAUUAAUAGAUGACUCCUAUUGAUUUGAGGUCAGUUGGUCAAGGUCACAGUGAACUUCAGGUGGAAAAACUAUUUUUUGUCACAAGACAGAACGUGACACUUCUUUCAGCUCAACAACUAAAGAAAGCUUGGAAGCAGGACCUUCAUACUUGGACCCAGGAACAUCAUACUUGAGUGUUGCAGUACCAGUACAGAGUAUUGACCCAGUGGCCAUCCUACACAAAGGCACACCUUUAUAGCUGUAUACCGCAAACAAUGUCGGUCUUCUUGGCUUGUCCACAGCAUUCCUGAGCCAGAUAACGAUUAAGACACAGCUCAUGGAGCAGUGCCUUCCACAACCAAAAGGGCUGUCAAGAGGACUGGAGGCCUAGUGUUGCAGUACCAGUACAGAGUAUUGACCCAGUGGCCAUCCUACACAAAGGCACACCUUUAUAGCUGUAUACCGCAAACAAUGUCGGUCUUCUUGGCUUGUCCACAGCAUUCCUGAGCCAGAUAACGAUUAAGACACAGCUCAUGGAGCAGUGCCUUCCACAACCAAAAGGGCUGUCAAGAGGACUGGAGGCCUUCAUUAUGGCCUUCAGCUGAUGGUCAGCACGAGUAAGCCCAGAUGUGGAGUUUUGCCUACACACGGCAAAAUGUGCGAAUAUGGAGACUGGAGGAAAACGCAGCCAUGGUGAUAAGCCCAGCCAGAUAAUGUAUGGGGACACAUCUAUCGACAACACAGACAUGUACACUCAUUUGGGUAUCUUACAGUCGCCCAUUUGAAAACUACCAUAUAAUAUUGAUGAUGUCUGACAAUGUGUUGGAUGAAUGUUAUUUUAAAUGCCCUUUUCAUGCGUUACCUUGUCAUGUGCAUCUUUUAUCAUUUUACUGGGUUAUAUACUUACAUAUUGUGUCUUAUGCAAAUA